rnacentral:rRNA from 1 species
CAGCAGCCGCGGGAAUACGUAGGGUGCAAGCGUUAAUCGGAAUUACUGGGCGUAAAGCGUGCGCAGGCGGUCCGUUAAGACAGAUGUGAAAUCCCCGGGCUUAACCUGGGAACUGCAUUUGUGACUGGCGGGCUAGAGUAUGGCAGAGGGGGGUAGAAUUCCACGUGUAGCAGUGAAAUGCGUAGAGAUGUGGAGGAAUACCGAUGGCGAAGGCAGCCCCCUGGGCCAAUACUGACGCUCAUGCACGAAAGCGUGGGGAGCAAACAGGAUUAGAUACCCCUGUAGUCCCUGUCUCUUAUAC